GGGCGAAUAGCUCAGGUGGGAGAGCGUCUCCCUUACAAGGAGAAGGUCGUAGGUUCAAGUCCUACUUCGCCCACCA
rnacentral:tRNA from 1 species